rnacentral:rRNA from 1 species
CAGCCGCCGCGGGAAUACAGAGGGUGCGAGCGUUAAUCGGAUUUACUGGGCGUAAAGCGUGCGUAGGCGGCUAAUUGAGUCGGAUGUGAAAUCCCCGAGCUUAACUUGGGAAUUGCAUUCGAUACUGGUUAGCUAGAGUGUGGGAGAGGAUGGUAGAAUUCCAGGUGUAGCGGUGAAAUGCGUAGAGAUCUGGAGGAAUACCGAUGGCGAAGGCAGCCAUCUGGCCUAACACUGACGCUGAGGUACGAAAGCAUGGGGAGCAAACAGGAUUAGAUACCCCAGUAGUCCCUGUCUCUUAUAC